rnacentral:misc_RNA from 1 species
AAGUCGUAACAAGGUUUCCGUAGGUGAACCUGCGGAAGGAUCAAUGCGAAGUGAGUGGAGAAAGUGAGAGAGAGAGAUGUGGGAAUGAGGAGAGUGAGAUGAGAGACAUAAUAAAAAGUACAUUUACUUGAACAAGACUCGCCACCUGGGAUCUCUGGGCUCUU